GACGAACGCUGGCGGCGUGCUUAACACAUGCAAGUCGAACGGCAAGGCCCUGCUUUUGUGGGGUGCUCGAGUGGCACGCGGGUGUGUAACACGUGAGUAACCUGCCCUUGACUUUGGGAUAACUUCAGGAAACUGGGGCUACUACCGGGUAGGAGCUCCUGCUGCAUGGGGGGGGUUGGAAAGUUCGGGCGGUUGGGGAUGGACUCGCGGCUUAUCAGCUUGUUGGUGGGGUAGUGGCUUACCAAGGCUUCGGAGGCUAGCCGGCCUGGGCGGUUGGCCGGCGCCAAUGGGACUGAGAGACGGACCAGAGUCGUACGGGAGGCAGCAGUGGGGAAUCUUGUCCAGCGGGCGCAAGCGUGAUGCAGCGACGCUGCGUGCGUGAUGACGGCCUUCGGGUGGUAAACCGCUUUCGGCUGUUACGACGCGGGAGUGACGGUAACGGAUAAAGAAGCACCGGCUAACUACGUG
rnacentral:rRNA from 1 species